AGAGUCCUGAAAUGUUCGUUGUGUUACCUGAAGUUUUGACCGAACAUAGAUUUAUUGGGAAUCCGGAGUUUUCUGAUUGCGCACAUGCCCUGAUUCUUGAUCUGGGGACUUGCAAUAUCGGAAAUAGGAUACCCACCUGCUGAGAGCGGGAUCAAAACAAGGGAUCAAAAGCGACGGCAUUAUUGGGACUCUU
rnacentral:other from 2 species